CAUCCUAGCUAGAUCAGAUUCUCUGUUGAUUUCUUCAAGAGGAUGGUUUCUUGAAGAAAUUGACCAUUUCAUUUUAGAAUCUAUAUUUCAUUCAUCGGUGACGAUCCGGAGCUGAGUUGCAGUGCCAUUGGGUGAAGAAGCUGAUGGAUUAGCUGCCAUUUCCAUGAAGGACAAGCUACUAUCUCAACUAAGUUUAGAGAAGAAGGUUGCACAGGGAGGAAGAAAAUCGGAGGAGGAAAUCGAUCUUUAAGUAAUGCACCUAGACGACAUUGGAGGCUAGAUGGAAGAAAGGAAUAAUAUUGAGGUGAUUGUCAUGUGCCAUUCUAUCCUCUGUUCACAUGCAUUUUCCUCCAUGAGAGAAGCCUUUCCUUUUCAGCGUUUUCAACUCAUAUAUAAAAGCACUAGUACUUAGUAGAUUCUGGUAUAUACAAUCAAUCGCGGCACAUAAUAACAGAAGGCUUGAAAUUAAUUACCUGGCCCACACUUAUUCUCAAGGAGAUCUAUCAGAUUGCCUCAGGGCUGAUCAUAACCUCAUAUGUGCUGUGGCUACUUGCUAAGACCUGCUUCUGGAAUGUAUGCUUUUGCAUCCAAGAAAAUGCUGAAAGGGACAAGUUGGGAUAUGAAAGGGAACGAAGGGUUGAGACUUGUGAGAGCUUAUGGCCACAAACCACUCACUUCACUUUUGUUCUCUCCAGUGACUGCAAUCCUGACCAGGUUCAAUUUUCAAAACUUCAACUCUGCCAUUUUUUUUUUCUCUACUGGUCCUCCCAUUCUGAUGAAGC